GACGACUCUGGUAUUGAUUGGUGCUUGCAUCAUGAUUUACAUUUGAGUGAGUGGCGAACUGGUGAGUAACACGUGGGAAACCUGCCCAGAAGCGGGGGAUAACACCUGGAAACAGAUGCUAAUACCGCAUAACAACUUGGACCGCAUGGUCCGAGUUUGAAAGAUGGCUUCGGCUAUCACUUUUGGAUGGUCCCGCGGCGUAUUAGCUAGAUGGUGGGGUAACGGCUCACCAUGGCAAUGAUACGUAGCCGACCUGAGAGGGUAAUCGGCCACAUUGGGACUGAGACACGGCCCAAACUCCUACGGGAGGCAGCAGUAGGGAAUCUUCCACAAUGGACGAAAGUCUGAUGGAGCAACGCCGCGUGAGUGAAGAAGGGUUUCGGCUCGUAAAACUCUGUUGUUAAAGAAGAACAUAUCUGAGAGUAACUGUUCAGGUAUUGACGGUAUUUAACCAGAAAGCCACGGCUAACUACGUGCCAGCAGCCGCGGUAAUACGUAGGUGGCAAGCGUUGUCCGGAUUUAUUGGGCGUAAAGCGAGCGCAGGCGGUUUUUUAAGUCUGAUGUGAAAGCCUUCGGCUCAACCGAAGAAGUGCAUCGGAAACUGGGAAACUUGAGUGCAGAAGAGGACAGUGGAACUCCAUGUGUAGCGGUGAAAUGCGUAGAUAUAUGGAAGAACACCAGUGGCGAAGGCGGCUGUCUGGUCUGUAACUGACGCUGAGGCUCGAAAGUAUGGGUAGCAAACAGGAUUAGAUACCCUGGUAGUCCAUACCGUAAACGAUGAAUGCUAAGUGUUGGAGGGUUUCCGCCCUUCAGUGCUGCAGCUAACGCAUUAAGCAUUCCGCCUGGGGAGUACGGCCGCAAGGCUGAAACUCAAAGGAAUUGACGGGGGCCCGCACAAGCGGUGGAGCAUGUGGUUUAAUUCGAAGCUACGCGAAGAACCUUACCAGGUCUUGACAUACUAUGCAAAUCUAAGAGAUUAGACGUUCCCUUCGGGGACAUGGAUACAGGUGGUGCAUGGUUGUCGUCAGCUCGUGUCGUGAGAUGUUGGGUUAAGUCCCGCAACGAGCGCAACCCUUAUUAUCAGUUGCCAGCAUUAAGUUGGGCACUCUGGUGAGACUGCCGGUGACAAACCGGAGGAAGGUGGGGAUGACGUCAAAUCAUCAUGCCCCUUAUGACCUGGGCUACACACGUGCUACAAUGGAUGGUACAACGAGUUGCGAACUCGCGAGAGUAAGCUAAUCUCUUAAAGCCAUUCUCAGUUCGGAUUGUAGGCUGCAACUCGCCUACAUGAAGUCGGAAUCGCUAGUAAUCGCGGAUCAGCAUGCCGCGGUGAAUACGUUCCCGGGCCUUGUACACACCGCCCGUCACACCAUGAG
rnacentral:rRNA from 1 species